UCACUGGUCAAUGGAUUUGGAAUCAAGCCAAGUUCUGAAUUCUAGCUUCCUCCCUUUGAUGCUGUGCAUUAUUAGCAAUCUACUUAAACUUUCUGGGUCUCAGUUUCCUCAUCUGUGAAUAAGAAGAAAUGCAAGCUUAGGUGAUCAUUGUGAGGAAGAAACAGCACAUGUGAAAGCUCCUGGCCUAAUGUCUGAACCCAGAACACUCAUUCCCAGGCGAGAGCACAGCCUCACCCAUGUGAGGCUGAUUUGCAAGUGACUCAGGAAGGAGGAAAGCUGAAUGAAGGGCAGUCAUUUUGCUGAGAAGAGUGGCAGCAGAGACGCUGGGGUUCUGGGCAUGCAGCGUCCUGCACAAGUUGCUGCUGUGAACUGGAAAGUCAGAUUCCUGGCGGCUGUGCUUGGUGACACAACAGCAGGCUGUUCUCUUGUGCAAGUCUGCACGCUGGACCUGGGAGCUCAGCACGGAGCUUGCUUCUCUCGCUCUCCCAACAACUCUGGGAAUUCUCCAAUAAAUAUUUCUUUUAUUAAGACGCAAUUUACACAUAGUAACAUAUACCUUUUUUUUUUAGGAAGAUUAGC
rnacentral:lncRNA from 1 species